AUCAACUUCCUGGGUCAUGCAGCAAGGAACAAAAUCCGCUUCCUGGUCAUGCGGCUUGCAAAGCUCGGUGCCAUGAACUCUACUUGUGCACUGGCAUGGAGUAACACUCAUCCCACUGGCUGACCACUCCACCGCUCGUCCCUCUGGCCGACCACUUCACCACUCGGCAAUGAGCAGAUUGCCAUCCAACUUGUUACCUCUGCAAAAGAAAUAAAACUUUAUUACAAAUAACA